UGCAGUUUGAUCUCUGACUGCUGUGCUAGCAAUCAGUGAGACUCCCUGGGCAUAGGACCCUCCGAGCCAGGUGGGGGUUAUAAUCUCGUGGUGCGCCGUUUUUUAAGCCCGUCGGAAAAGCGCAGUAUUCCGGUUGGAGUGACCCGAUUUCCAGUGAGAUGAACCCGGUACCUCAGAUGGAAAUGCAGAAAUCACCCGUCUUCUGCGUCGCUCAAGCUGGGAGCUGUAGACCGGAGCUGUUCCUACUCGGCCAUCUUGGCUCCUCCCCGCCAAGCCUGUCAGUCAGAAUUCCAUUGCAUGCCUGUUCUUGAACAACCAUGGUCAAGGAGACAAGAUUCCUGAUGACUGACUCACACUAAUCAAAACUCAGCCACUGGUCCUAGCAAACUUCAUGAGAUGAGAGUGGAGAGUGUCCCAUCUCAUCUUAAGCAUAUGACUGUCCCAUACCCAUACAAAAUCAGGUUCUUUGCACAAAGAACAAUAGAGGUGAAUGACCAAUGAGUAAUCAAAGAGAGAGUUUUUCAGAAUAUGACUGCAUUUGGAAAUAGGGACUUUAAAGAGGUGAUUAAGUUACAAUGAGGCCACUAGAGAAGACAAUUAUCCAUUUGGACUGAUGUGCUUAGAAGAAGAGCAUAUUGGUAAAAAGAGACACCAGAGGUACAACAGCACAGAGAAAGACCAUGUGAGGACAUAGUGAGAAGAUGGCCAUCCCAUCUGCAAGCCAAGGACAGAGGCCUCAGGAGAAACCAACCCUGAUGACACCUUGAUCUUGGACUUCACAGCCUCCAGAACUAACAUACUCAAGUGUCUCAGCUCAACAUUUGGAGAUGAGCCAUCCUCCUCUUAUUGUAAGAAAAGCUUGAAGGAGUAUUUUCACAGCGAUGGAACUGGAAGUUAAGGCAACUUCUAUCAGCAUCAAGAAAAGAAAAGAAGUAUUCACCACUUACGAAACAACAUCUCUCUUCUCAUCAAUAGUUUGAUUUACAGCAUCUACUGCAGAAGACCUCAAUAAUGCAUAAGAACAUCUGGAAGUACGGUAAUUUCAGCUAUCAGAGAUAAGAAUUGACACAGAACAGCAUCUGGAAAUCUGCAGAUUUGGAUGCACAAACAAUUAGACAUAAGACACAGCAUAAUGAAGUAUUUGUUUUCAUAGAGGAUCAUAGAAAUUCAUAAACAGAGGAUGAAGAAACACAGAAGACAGAGGAAGGAUUUAGUUUUGGGAACAUGUGCUAAUGGCCAUCAAACAAUUCUGAAAUAACUGAAAGAGAACCUUUGAAACACCCUUUAGAUUAAGAGCCUGGCUUGUAAUCUGUAACAACAAACGGUAUUACAAUGAGGUAAGAACUCUACUACAUCUGUUUCUAUUAUUAGGAUUGCUACUGAUACUAAUAAUUAUCAUUAUUAUUGCUAACACUUAUUGAGUGCUCGGAAUAUACCAGAAACUAUUCCAAGUGGUUCAUGUAAUGACUCAAUAUAUGUGUAAAGAUUUAGAACUGUGAUUGAUGCAUAUUAAAUGCUCACAAAGGUUAACUACUAUUAUUAUGUACAAUAAGAUAAAAACUAUUACUAUUGUGCAUAGGCAAAAACUAAGAAUGUUUAAGUAACUUUCCCAGGGUUGUGCUUCAUGCUGCUAACAAAUGACAUUAUUAAGAUUUGAACCAAGUUCGUAUGACUCCUGUCCAUAUUCUUAACAUUAAUUCCACACUUAU
rnacentral:lncRNA from 1 species